rnacentral:rRNA from 1 species
GAUGAACGCUGGCGGCGUGCCUAAUACAUGCAAGUCGAGCGAACGGACGAGAAGCUUGCUUCUCUGAUGUUAGCGGCGGACGGGUGAGUAACACGUGGAUAACCUACCUAUAAGACUGGGAUAACUUCGGGAAACCGGAGCUAAUACCGGAUAAUAUUUUGAACCGCAUGGUUCAAAAGUGAAAGACGGUCUUGCUGUCACUUAUAGAUGGAUCCGCGCUGCAUUAGCUAGUUGGUAAGGUAACGGCUUACCAAGGCAACGAUGCAUAGCCGACCUGAGAGGGUGAUCGGCCACACUGGAACUGGGACACGGUCCAGACUCCUACGGGAGGCAGCAGUAGGGAAUCUUCCGCAAUGGGCGAAAGCCUGACGGAGCAACGCCGCGUGAGUGAUGAAGGUCUUCGGAUCGUAAAACUCUGUUAUUAGUGAAGAACAUAUGUGUAAGUAACUGUGCACAUCUUGACGGUACCUAAUCAGAAAGCCACGGCUAACUACGUG